GCGUGAAGAGGUGGAAAACUCAAAAGCCAGAUUGACUUGCUGACUAAUGAGAAGGACAGUCUACAGGUAAAAUUCAACGAGCAAGUAGUUAUGAAUAACAAACUUAUGGAAAAUAUCUCUGAGCUCAAACAAGAAAUGCUUCACAUGAAAAAGAUUCCAGAACGGUUAUACGAGUCGGUUGCUAAUUGCAAGGAUGUCUGCAAGGAUGUUAUAGUCAGAAUGAAGAGCUUAGUGGCUGAGAAGGAAUCUCCAAGAGCAAAGCUUUUCUUUGGUGCAACUGAAAUCACAACGAGCCUUCUUUCAACUCUAGAAUC